GCUGGCAGGAUGGUCUCGAUCUCCUGACCUCAUGAUCCACCUGCCUCAGCCUCCCAAAGUGCUGGGAUUACAGGCGUGUGCCACUGCGCCCAGCCUCCUCAGACAUUCUUAAGUAAAACUGGUGUGUGUUUUUUGUUCUGUUUUUUUUUUUAACUGCAAGUGUGUGGCAAUGAAAUAGAGUUUGGUGUUCUUGCUGAUUCUUACCAAGCCCAGCAGUUUUCCCUACCAGUGUAUCUGCUUCAUCAGUACAAAUGUCAACACAGUGUAAAAGGCAAAUAAUGUCUUAGUAUUGUUAUGAAAAUGUUUUACCUUCACGAACUCCUGAAAGAGCCUUGGGAGCUUUCAGGGGUCCACAGACCACACAUUAAGAGUUGAUGAGGUAAACACCACUGGGGACCAGAAACAGAACAGAAAAUAUGGCAGGGAGAAGGACUAUUCCCAAAUUUGCUAACUAUUAAUAAAUCUGGAGAAAGUUGAAUCGACUCUCUGAAUUUAUGACUGACUUAGAGCUGAGUACUUAAAAGUGUAGAAAUAGAACCCGGGAGGUGGACAUUGCAGUGAGUCGAGAUGGCACCACUGCACUCCAGCCUGGGUGACAGAGUGAGACUCCAUCUCAAAAAAAAAAGUGUAGAAAUAAAGAUAUAUAUAUAGCCACUCAAGACCUGGACCAAUCUACUUGCAGGCUUAAGGUCUAGAUCUGUGAUGACUUGAAUUCACUUCUGUUGGUGGUUUGGGGGUUCCUUCAUAAGGUGUGGUGUUUGUGGACUAGGGGACUCAGAAGGCCAAGCAGAAAUGACCAUGACCAUAAGUCCGCUAGACAGGGAUAGAAGCAGGAGGGGACAGUCAAGUUG